rnacentral:misc_RNA from 1 species
CAUUCAGUAGCCUAGCUACUUGUUUACACCCUUGUUUUUUUUGCGCACUUCACUGUAUCCCUCGGCGGGCUUGCUCGCCGGUUGGACAACAUUUAUAACCUUUUUUAAUCUUCAAUCAGCCGUCUGAAUUAUAUUUAAUAAUUA